AGCAAGACGUCCAACAACUUUCGACGUAUUUCAUCCGUACCUGGAUCGACUUAGAGUGCUGCCGUGCUAGGGAAGAACGGCGUAUGAACCAUAAGGCGUUGCCAAAUUUCCCUCGACAAAACAAGCAUUUCCUGAAAAUUUGUAAAUAUUUCUCUUUCGAUUUUUCAAGAGGUUACAUUCGUAAUUUGAUCUUAAAGGUCUGAAAAUUUCAAGAAAAAAUAUUCAUAGCUCUCUCUAAAAAUAAAUAUUUUCUUGGAAGAAAUUUGGCAACUCUCGAUCGCUCAUACGGCGUUUUUCCUUAGCGCGGCGGCGUAGGCGUAAGGGUUGGCGGGUGGCAACCCUGGUCCUCCCCUCCCGCCACGACGGGUAAUUGAUUGCUUUUAAACUAUCCGGCCCUACCCGGGCCGGGCGGCGCUUUGUCACAAGUUUAGGCCGUGAAUUACAGACGUGGCUACUAUCGAAAUAUUAAUUUGUAUCUGUGCUUCCAGCUGAGCCCCCGCGGCUUCCGGGGGACCUGAUCGUAUCGGUUGUUGAGAUGUUUGACUUGAAGCAGGCCAUGUUUUGACCCGGUCGUGGUGUGGUGUGGUAGCUGAAGAUUGGUGGUAAUGGAGAUUAGGCGUCAAGUUUCUGAACUGGUGUCUGCUCUCGGUACCUCAGCACUUUAGUGAUACUUUCAUUCAAGGACUUGGACUGGAAUAUUGAAAAAUGAAGUUGAGUAUGAAGUGGUGCGGGUAAAACGCGUGAGGAGUGGAGAGUCAAAACCUGGCAAGUGCCGUUAGGUGCUGACGACAGCUCGGCGCAAUCUUCAUCGGCAGUUGGUCCAAACACGGUCGAAUUACGUUCAGUAACGCAUCGAGGCAUUUCAGACUCAAGAAUGGAACGUCAACAAAAUUACAUGCGUUGCAUGCACCCAAUGGCCCACUCCCCUCUCCUUCACUCUGCAUGGAAGAGAAAGCAAACGUGAGUCUUCGGAGCAAAAAAUUCCAAAAAUAAACACGCUGUGUAAACAGACGGAUAUCAACAAGUUAAACCGUUUUCAGUCCAGACGCUCCGCGGUGGCCGAGAAGGAUAAUUGAAAAAAAAAGAGUUUUCCUUCGC
rnacentral:lncRNA from 1 species